CGUGUGCGAAGGUUGCGGCCAAGAGCAAACGAAAUCGCGUAUGUGCCGCGACAAGACAGCUGAUGACUAAUUUCUGAUGCACGCGUUUACCUCAUUGCGGUGAAGUGUCGUGAAACAUCCGGAGAUCAUUAUCUCACCCAUGGAAAAUUGUGCGAUGUAUUUUUAAAACGCUCGUUUGCCACGCGCGUUAUCACUUCCCGGUAGAUUAAUCGGUCAUAAUGACCGAUACUUAAGACAUACAUUAUGUCUCAUAAUAAAAGAAAAUGUCGUUAACGACACAUUUAUGAUAUAAUAUAAUCAAACGGCAGUGUGAUCGGAAACGAUGAGCACUAUUUCAAAUUUUAUAGGUGAUAUAUUUAAUAAUAUAAUAUUUUACCAAUGUCUCAUACAGUUACGUAUCCUCAAGUGAUUUGCGUUACCAUAAUUUAAUCUCUCGUGCACGGUGCUUAGUUCGAGAAUAAUAAAACCGUACUAAAGAUAAUUGUAUUUUGUAACAUUCCUCUGCUGCGUGCGUAAAACUCGCACAUGCGAAUUUUUUACGACGUGGCGGAAAAUGGCUAGAAUUUUAUUAUUUCCGAAAGUAAUAAAAGAUUGUGCGCGUACAUCAUCCGUGUACAUCAUUCAAUAUUGAAAUUGCGCAUCCUUAUCUCGCUCCAAUCUCCUGCGCAAAUCUAAUCAUAAAAAUAACUUCGCGUUCUCUAGCCUUCGUUCUAAUAAAAAAAUUAAUACCGUGCUCUCCAACGCGUUACUCGAAUCACCGUGAAAAUCUGAGCUGUUUGCACAAUGCGAGAAAUUUUUUCACGCAUUGGGUAUCACGCGCAGGUCAGCUAAGCAGAAACGUGCGUAUCGUGAUCCCGGUUAACGUACACGAGAGACUUUUAUGCAGGAGGAGAUAAGGAUAAAGAUUCGCCUUACUCAUGCAGUUUAAUAUAAAACAAAUCGAAUCAUCUGGAAUCGACCGGCGACGUACCCGGCGAUGCGCAGUUCUUUAUUUAUUCGCGCGGCGGGCCAUAUAAUUCAUUGAAUAACCGGCCGGUUCCGGCAGGGAUGCUACAUCGGAGAAAUAUAAAAUAUAUUCUUUCAUUUCCCCGGGGACUUCCGGGGAAGCUUAGCGCGCGUGGGCUAUCUCUCCCGCGCGCGCUAAACGGGAAAGGUAGUCCUCUCACGAUUGGACCCACUCGCUGGCAGAGACGAUCACCUUCUCUCUCUGUCUCUGUCCGCGGAUUAAUCUAUCCCUUAUCCCGUUUAUCCCGCUCUUCCCGUUUCUCGGAAAACGUGAAGCUAAAAACGAUGACACGUAUCUUCGCGGCGCGGGGAGCGAGGACACUAUCCUCCUCCUCCCCUACCUACGUUUUCCCUCCACCGCCGCCAACCUGCCGGGGUACUUAUGGAGUCUCUCGCAGAUUAACUUUUGAUACGCGUCUCCAGUCUCCGUGCAAGCGCCAAUUCGUACGUGUGCGCGAACGUGACACGUUCACCCGCUGCCGAUUAUUAAAUUUGUAUUAGCACCGGUGAGUCCCGCGCUCGUAAAGCGUAAUUUGACUGGUAACCCGGAGGUGAAGGCGUUACACAGGCGGAAUCGUGGUAACGUAACGAAAACGAAGAGGAUCCGUUGGUGACGAGGAGAAAGAGGAAGAGAGAGAAGGAGAGACGAAGACAGAGACGAAGAGGAACCAAGAGUGGAACAUUCCCAUUUUCACGUGAGACGGUACAAAGGACAUCCGAUAUCCAAAAUGCAUCUCUCGGCAUCACUCUUCCUUAUCAUGCUGUGCGUCCUGGUUCAUUCGGCGGUCGGCAUCCAAGAGAUGGUAAACUCCGAUUCCGUUUACUUCCCUGAUCAAGCGGAUUACAUCAAGCUUGCCACAAAGUGUCCGAGCGACACGAUACUGUGGCCUGCGAACCGUCGGUGCUACAAAGAGGGUGAGCAAGGUCCCUGCAACGUCGGUCGGGUGCUGCUGUUCGACCGUCGGUUACUGCGACCGUACUGCAAGGAUAUCAUGUUCUAAAGGACUAUCCGUGCUAUACCACAGCGAACAGCCGGGUGUAACCAACUGCCAAACGACCAACUGCAGUUUAAUCCGCCACCUGCUGCGAUUCGUUGCACGAUAGGUGACGGCAGCGACCGCGAAUUUCCCGUUCGAGAGGCUCAAUUAUAUGUUUCGACACGGACAAAAAUAUUUGUUCAAGCAAAGAGAAAACGCGUAGAUAUUUAUUAAUGGAAUUAUAAAUACUCGUAUAAUGGAAUUGUAAAUACUCGUAGCGACGGCGUCGCGUUCGAUAUCAAAAAUAAUAUCCCUGCGUAAACGCAAAGGAGUUGCAUCGGACGUUUGCGUAAGGCAGAUCCAUGCUGUUUCUCUAGGCAGAAUUUUUUAAUUUGUUAAUAAAAGCGAACUCGCAGGAGAGAAGCUCAAAUCAAAUGUUAGUCUGAUAAUUAGCGUGAUACCUCAAUUUUUAUUUAAAUAUUAAUGCCAUGUCACGUGUGAUUGUAUAUGAAAUAUUUACGAGAUUUAUGCUCGAAGUAAUCUCUUGUGCCUUAGUUUGUCUAGAUUUUUAUUGUUAAUUAUUAUAUUAUAAUCAUAUUCUUCGUGUGGCGUGUGUAUGUGUGAAUUGAAUUUUCCAACUGACUCGCGCGUCAUUUAACAUUUAGAGAAAUACGCUUUAAUUGACUGCAUAAAAUAUAGAUCUGAUAGAUUAGAUUCUUUUUAUGCUCUAUUCUCAACUUAGUAUGUAGCUCAUGAAUUUUUACUGCUACUAUUCAUAGAAAAUGAUAGAUGUAUUUAUUUAAAAUCCAUGUAAUGCCAAUAAUUUUCCAUCUAUAAAAGAUAACUGUAGUUUAGUAAGUAUUUAUAUUUACAUUUUGAUAUUACCAGAGAGUUAUUAAUUAUUAUUGAUAGCGAUUGAAAUAGCAAUUAUUCUGCUGAUUUGUAUUUAUGUAAUAAAAUUUUUAUUGUCGCAAAAUAUAUCAAAUAAUAGCAAA